GACGAACGCUGGCGGCGUGCUUAACACAUGCAAGUCGAACGGAAAGGCCCCCAUCUUGGUGGGGGUGCUCGAGUGGCGAACGGGUGAGUAACACGUGGGUGAUCUGCCCUGUACUUCGGGAUAAGCUUGGGAAACUGGGUCUAAUACCGGAUAGGACCAUGGUUUAGUGUCUCAUGGUGGAAAGAUUAUUGUUUUGGUGCAGGAUGAGCUCGCGGCCUAUCAGCUUGUUGGUGGGGUAAUGGCCUACCAAGGCGUCGACGGGUAGCCGGCCUGAGAGGGUGGACGGCCACAUUGGGACUGAGAUACGGCCCAGACGCCUACGGGAGGCAGCAGUGGGGAAUAUUGAGCAAUGGGCGCAAGCCUGAUGCAGCGACGCCGCGUGGGGGAUGACGGCCUUCGGGUUGUAAACUCCUUUCGUUAGGGACGAAGCCGCACUUUUUUUGGGUGUGGUGACGGUACCUUUGUUAAGAAGCACCGGCUAACUACGUG
rnacentral:rRNA from 1 species